GUCACUGAUGGCUGAGAACCAGGGCUUCGCAUCAGCACUGAUGGUGCAGGAGACCUCAGCUCCAAUUCAGUUGAGUGUGGGGCCUCAGAAGGCCAAAGGCCCACUCCCGGUGCUGCAUCUGCAGGUGCAGGCACUGGAUACUCCUGUGUACUCUCUGGAGCUGCGCUUUCGUGUAGAAGGACAACUGUACGAGCCUGUGGAGGCUGUCCACAUACCCUCUGUGCGUCCAGGACAACCUGCCCAUCCUCUGCACCUGCCUUUGCAGCCCCGUAGCCCAGCCCCCGCCCGCCUGCAUGUCCGGGCCCUUUACACCACACCGGCCGGCCUCACGUGCCAUGCCCACCUACCACCCCUGUCUGUGAACUUUGCUGACCUCUUCCUGCCUUUCCCCCAGCUCCCCAAGGGCUCUGAGUUGUGUUUCUUUGAUGAGCUCUGGAACUCCUGCCUGCCAAAGGGUGUAGAAAGUCGUGUGUGGUGUCCACUUGGGCCACAGGGCCUGGAGGCCUUGGUGUCCCAACACCUAGAGCCCUUUGUCGUGGUGGCGCAGCCCCCUACCACCUACCUCAUAGCUGUCCGCUUGCCUCCUCACUCCAUGCUGCUGCUGCGCCUGGAGAAAGCUCAGGUGCACGGUGUGCCUGUGGCCCUCAGGACUGAUGACUGGGCUGUGCUGCCCCUGGUGGGGGACUACCUCCGAGGGCUUGCAGCCCACUGAGCAAUGCCAGGUGAGACUGUACUUGUGGCUGGUGUGAGAGCCUGCCAAAGGAGCACGUUCUUGUAGCUGCUGCCCCAUAAACGCCCAUUCACUGACAACUCCUGCUGGCUUGUUUUCUUUUGGACCCCUGUUAGGAGCAAGCUACAGACUUCCAUAAUUCUUGCCCAGAUAGUCCGAACAUGUUUCUCACUGGGUCUGACCUGGCCCAAGAGCCCUGUGCAACUUCUCAUGAAGGUUGGAGCUUGAGGUUGGGCCUCCCAACUCUGCUCCAGCUGAGCUCACACGGUGAGCGAGCAGCCUGGAGCAGGGGUGACUACAUAGCCCCUUCCUGGGUAGAGCUGGUUGGACCUAACUGUACAGGGUGUGCCAGAAAGGUUCAGUUCUGAGCAAAUGGAGGGCCCACAUGAUCUGGUUCAAAACAACCCCCCAAACUUAGCUUUUAAUGGCAGCUCUUAGGAGAUCCAGUCUGCUUAGGAAUCUCCUCAGAUUCCUGUUCUCAGGCAGGUGUUGGUGGUACACCUUCCUCCCAAUACUUGGAAGGCAGAGGCAGGUGGAUUGAUUGCUGCGUUUGAUGCCAGCCUGGCCUACAGAGUGAGUUCUAAGACAGCCAGAGCUACACAGAGAAACCCUGUCUCAAAAACAAAGAACUUGGGGCUGGAGAGAUGGCUCAGCGGUUAAGAGCACUGACUGCUCUUCCAGAGGUCCUGAGUUCAAUUCCCAGCAACCACAUGGUGGCUCACAACCAUCUAUAAAGAGAUCCGAUGCCCUCUUCUGGUGUAUCUGAAGACAGCUACAGUGUACUCAUAUGUAAUAAAUGAAUAAAUUUAAAAAAAAAAAAAACAAAGAAC
rnacentral:lncRNA from 1 species